AGUUCUGCUAAACUGUUGAUGGAAGUUCUCCAUCAUGGAACUAUUUGCCUGUACCUAUGCUAGACUGUUACUAAUAAUCAUGUUUCAGAUGUGAUAUAUUAGGUAGUUCAAUUCUCUAUACUGCAUAUACUAGAAAUCUUGUUUCAGAUGGCAGACAUUAGAAUUAUUGGUCAGAAGAUCAGACAAGUGGAGGUGUUUGUAAGGAGUUAUAGUAAUUCCUUGUAUAAGCAGUUACAGGAAAAAAAUAGAAAUAUGCCGAAUCGCCCAUUGCAGUUUAAGUUUCCAUUUAUACUAAGCGAGCUUUUGAUUUGUACAGCUCUUGCAGUAUUUAACUGAGAAUUUGUUAUUCAUGGAUGAGAAUUCUGGUAUAUGGCGUGUAACUUCAGUUUCAUUUUUUCCAGUUGACAAGAUAGGAUGACCCUUAUACUACUGACAAAAUGCAAGGAGAUGAAUAUUCCAUUAUCGUUUUUUGCACAAUGUAAGUAUCAGAAGCUGAGCACACUUGCUACCAUUUGGAUUUAUUAAUGUGUUUUAACUUCUCAUAUCAGAGCUCCUUCUUGUUAAAAUGGACAGAGAUUCCAGCUUGACAUGGCUAUUGUGCAAAGACACUUGCUUUGUGUGUCCAGAUGUGCUAUUUCCAAUGUUUCCUCCAGGAUCAGUUAUAAGCUGGUCUAGAUUCUCAGAUUUGCUCAGUAAUGCAUUCAUAUCAUUAUCGUAAUUCAUUUAUGUAUUGAUUGGUUUAAACCUUGUAUUUUGCGGGCUCUCAACAUGAAUGAAACAAGCUAAGAGUUGUAUGACAUUUAGUUGAGGACUAGUACAAAACUAUACAGCUUUCUUGUAGUUUUUUGCCGCAAGCUUUCUUGUAGUUGUAUACAUGUUUAGGGUUUAGAUGGGAUUACUUUUUACGCAUUUGCUUAAUUGUUCAAUAUAUAUUCAUACCACAUUUGCAUCCAAACAUUUGGAUUCUCUAGAUAAGAUAUAGUAGUCAGGGAGGUAUUGUUGCUUAUAUUCCACACUAUUGUUCUAAUACAUGCACGAUACAAGUUAUAUAUGCGUUACAGUACAUUUCUGAGUAAUUGAACUUAACCCACUGUUUGCAUGAAUAGAUAUUCACCCAUCUGUUUUGUUCAUGUAGUUGGUUUCUUCUGUAUUAACCAAUAAAUACUAUUUUACCAUCAAGAAAGAGGUAGAAGAAUCACACGAAGCAAGGAAGCAACAGCUGGAAGAUAUUGAAAUUUUAAAGAAGUCACCGAAGGAGACAAAUGACCUUCGUCGGCUGAUUGGCCUUAACACUCUUGUGGUUAGCCUCAUGCUGAUUCAUGCUGAGAUGACUAGUUUUGUGGUUGGUGUGAUCUGGACAUGUGACUUUGUUUUUGUUGGUGAAUGUAAACGACUAUUUGGACAAGUGACGUCAUUUUGGUCACAAUGACGUUGGCUGGAUUUUGGUCGGCGAUGAUAUGCUCAAUGUACUGAUGUUGUAUCGAUGUAAUUGAACCUGUUUUGGUUACUGAACUUGUGAUGUUUGUGUUCAUUAAUGAAUCUGUGAUUAUAUUGGGA